rnacentral:rRNA from 1 species
UACGUAGGGUGCAAGCGUUAAUCGGAAUUACUGGGCGUAAAGCGUGCGCAGGCGGUUUUGUAAGUCUGCCGUGAAAUCCCCGGGCUCAACCUGGGAAUUGCGUUGGAGACUGCAAGGCUGGAGUCUGGCAGAGGGGGGUAGAAUUCCACGUGUAGCAGUGAAAUGCGUAGAGAUGUGGAGGAACACCGAUGGCGAAGGCAGCCCCCUGGGUCAAGAUUGACGCUCAUGCACGAAAGCGUGGGGAGCAAACAGG